CCCAACUUGCGCGUUCCCUCACCAUUUGCUCGUUCCCGCCCCAAAUCCCUCGUUCCCACCUCGAAUCCAUCAGGGUUUUGGUCCUUCGCGCCAAAUACCUCUUAGAUCUUAUUCCUUCUCCUCCAUCGCCUCAGAUCUAGGCGCUAGGGUUUCUGAUCUCAAGCUCUCGGGAAGCUUGGUUGUAAAGCACACCUGAAGCUGCAUUUACUUGGGAUUUAACAAAGUGAACUUUAUCACGAACUCACUCAGCUAUAAAGGGGACACCCAUCAAAAUAAUUUUCUUUCCAAGCGCUCCAGAAGCCUGUCUUGAAUAUAUAUAUCCAAUAGUAUGAAGAAUUGCCUCCCCAAAAGCUGCAAUUCAAGUAACUAUUAUCUUUGUGAUGCUGGAUACACUACCAUGCCUGGCUUCAUCUCUCCAUACUAUGGCAUUCGUUAUCACUUAAAGGAACAAAUUGGUAGGACACCCAGAAAUAGUGGGGAGUUAUUCAAUUUAAGACACUCUUCUUUACGGUCUAAAAUUGAAUCAACCUUUGGCACAUUGAAGAACCGGUUCAAAAUUCUUUCGGCGAAGCCUAAUUAACCAUUCCCCACACAAGUGGACAUCGUCUUAGCAUGUACUAUAUUACAUAAUUUUAUUGCAAUUGA